ensembl:lincRNA
UUCUUUCUUGACAGGGGCAGGAAGGCUGGACAGGAUGCUAUGAUUGCCACGAAUCUUAUAAACUACCCAAGAGAUGCAUGCUGAGCUGGUGCUAGCUGGAGGUCAGACUUGCCUAUCCCAUGGCAGCUCCCAGGUAUGGCCAAUCAGAAGAUUAAAUACACAGUCUGUGGAAUUGGAACUGCCCAGAUACUGUCAGCUCCAGCAUGUAAAGAAAUUGGAAGUCAUCACUCUAUUCUUUACAACCAGAAGGAAAGCUAAACAAAUGGAAAAUCAAGGAUAUUUCUUCAAUCCAGCAGAGAAUUAAGAUCACAGAGAAAACUAACACCCCAAAAUUUGGAGAGAGAGCAAAUACAAGAAUCACAGGUAAGAUUAGAACAGGAACAGAAGCCACUGCACUCAGUAACUGGUAGGAACACUUAAAUGACAAUUUUGAUGAAUUGCUGGAGGCAGAGUAUGUACUAGCAGAAUACUUAAAUAUGCCUAGGGGACCCAAUCUUAGUGGUCUCCUACAUUUAUAUGGAUUUGCAACCAGAACCCCUAUAAGGUUCUCACAGUGAGGAUUAGAGAAAAAUUGCCUUGUGUUGCAGGCAGGAAGAAAAGGAAAAACUAUUUUGAAACACACCUAGGGAAAAAGAAAUCAUUUUGAAAUAUUCUCAGGGAAUUCUCCAUAACAAUAGCUUGCCCUCUAAGGUAAGGUACUUUACCAAAGGCAAUUAGACAAUUUCAUACGCUUCUAGCCUUCUUGUCUCAUGCAAGGGAGGAAACAAAAGGGCUAAGAAAUGUCUCUGAAGUUCACAGCUCAGGAACUCAGGUCCACUGAAAAACUGAGAUUUAAUCAUAAGGAUAUAAAAUGCUUCUCAUUCCCAACAGCUUACAAUUAAAUGAACAAGCCUCCAGCAUAAUAACAGUGGAUUAUAACUGAGAACAGCAAGACACAGACUGAAUUUAUGAUGAAGGUCUUAGGGAAACCCAAAGACAACAGGGGAGGAAAAAAAAAAACCCACCAAAAUGAGAGGAUACUGAAACCUCUAGAGCAGGGGUCCUCAAACUUUUUAAACAGGGGGCCAGUUCACUGUCCCUCAGAAUGUUGAAGAGUAUGCACUGUGGGCCCGGAUGAUUUGGUUGGCUGCUAAGCAGGACAGGCAGCGGUGGCAAAAACACCCAGCAGGCGGGAUAAAUGUCCUAGGCAGGCGGCAUGUGGCCCUGGGGGCUGUAGUUUGAGGACGCCUGCUCUAGAGCCUGAAACUAUAGCAAACAACAAAAACAUUACAACUUCUUGCCAAAUUAACAUAAAACCUUAAACUAAAAGUCUAAUUAACCUCAUUUUCUAUUACCCAAUACAUCAUGCCCACUUUCAACAAAAAAUUGCAGAGCAUGCCAAAAGGCAAGGAAAAACAGUCUGUAGAGGUAAAGCAAGCAGCAACCUCAGCUAUGAGACAGAUUUGGAAUCAUUGGAUAGGGAAAUUAAGAUAACUAUGAUUAAUACAAGGGGGUUUCAAAGAGUUCAUGAAAAAUGCUUAUUAUGAAAAAUCUAUGCAUGGAUAUAAUUUUUUCAGUGCCAAAAAAUUUAGUACUAACUUGUGAUAAAAUGUUGGAACGGGAUCUAGUUUGAGACACUGAGAAAAAAGACAUCAAUUUGAAAGAGCCCCUAAGACAGCAACAUGAAUUUUGCUAAAUUUAAAGCAAGAAAAAACAUCAAAUUUAUGGCAAAGUUUGGGUGGAGGAACUGUGGAAUCAUUGAUUCUUUAUGAAAAGUUUAUGGGGACAAUAUCCCAAAGAAAUCAGCAGUUUACAAAUGGAUAACUCAUUGUAAGAAUGGACAAGAUGAUGUUGAAGAUGAAGCCCACAGCAGCAGACCAUCCACAACAAUUUGUGAGGAAAAACAUUAAUCUUGCUCAUGCCAUACUUGAAGGGGACUAACAAUUAACAGCAGAAACAAUAGCAAACAUUAUACACCUAUCAGUUGAUUCAGCUUACACAAUUCUGACUGAAAAAUUAAAGUUUAGCCAAUUUUUCACUCAAUGGAUUCCAAAACUAUUGCACCCAGAUCAGCUGCAGAUAAGAGCAGAACAUUCAAUGGAAAUCUUAAACAAGUGUGAUCAAGAUUUUGAAGCAUUACUUUGAAGAAUUAUAACAGGAGAUAAAACAUGGCUUUAUCAGCACUAUCCUGAAGAUAAAGCACAAUCAAAGCAAGGGCUACCAAGAGAUAGAAAUAGUCCAGUUAAAGUAGAAGGAGAUUGGUUAGGAGGAAAGGUCAUGGCAAUAGUUUUUUGAGAUACUCAAGUUACUUUGCUUGUUGACUUUUUGGAAGGCCAAAGAAUGAUCACAUUUGCUUAUUGUGAUAAUGCUUUGAGAAAGUUAGCCAAAAAUUUAGCAGAAAAAUGUCCAGGAAAUCUUCACCAGAGGGUUCUUCUUCACCACAAUGUUUCUGCUAAUUCCUUUCAUUAAAUACAGGCAAAUUCUCAGGAGUUUCAAUGGGAGAUUAUUACGGAUCCACCUUACAGUCCUUAUUUGGCUCCUUCUGACUUCUUUUUGUUUCCUAAUCUUAAAAAAUCUAUAAUGGGA